rnacentral:lncRNA from 1 species
GUAUAAAGGACAAUGCCAGGGUCUGGGCUCAAAGUUUGCCCAGCAGUGGGAGUAGUUCCAGCUGGUUCCAUAGUGCACUCUGAACACGAAAUCCAAAUAUUUUUGAAAUCGGUCCCAGAGGUCCUGAAAAAAACCGGUUCAAAUGUUCUCCAUAGAUAGUCACUUAACAAAGCCUGAGCCAUUUGCCCAGUAGUAAAAGUGGUCGAAAUAGGUUCUUUACUGCACUGUUAACACGAAAUCCAAAUAUUUUGGAAAUCGGUCCCAGAGGUCCCGAGAAAAACCGGUUCUAAUGUUAAACUUGAACAGUCACUUUAUAAAGCCCAAGCCAUUUGCCCAGUAGUGGGAAUGGUUAGAAUAGGUUCUUUACUGCACUGUUAACACGAAAUCCAAAUAUUUUGGAAAUCGGUCCCAGAGGUCCCGAGAAAAACCGGUUCUAAUGUUAAACUUGAACAGUCACUUUAUAAAGCCCAAGCCAUUUGCCCAGUAGUGGGAAUGGUUAGAAUAGGUUCUUUUCUUCACUGUUAAUACGAAAUCCAAAUAUUUUGGAAAUCGGUCCCAGAGGUCCCGAGAAAAACCGGUUCUAAUGUUCAACUUUAACAGUCACUUUAUAAAGCCCAAGCCAUUUGCCCAGUA